rnacentral:rRNA from 1 species
UACGUAGGUGGCAAGCGUUGUCCGGAAUUACUGGGCGUAAAGAAUGCGUAGGCGGCUUUUUAAGUGGGAUGUGAAAUCCCUGGGCUCAACCCAGGAACUGCAUUCCAAACUGGAAGGCUAGAGUGUGGGAGAGGAAAAUGGUAUUCCCAGUGUAGCGGUGAAAUGCGUAGAGAUUGGGAGGAACACCAGUAGCGAAGGCGAUUUUCUGGAGCAUAACUGACGCUGAGGCAUGAAAGCGUGGGGAGCAAACAGG